GGAGCUUCAGUCUGAAAGGAGGCGAUGGGAGGUGUGCAAUUGUCCCGCGCUGAAAGGGACAGUUAAAAGGAGAACCUUGUUGCAAAAGCUGGUGGGCCGGCCUGCAGGCUAGUUAAGUGCUGGUGGUGUGUGCAACUGUGUGUGUGUCUCUGAAGCCAAUCUACAUGUAAUUAUUUAAAGACCAAAAUAAGCUGUUUUAAAAUUCCAAUGCUUUGAGCAGUUGCCAGGCAAGCGGUGAAGUAUCCAGGAAGUUACUAGUUAUGGCCGACACAACUUUCUGUACAAUAGUGAAAGAACAUUUUUUACACAAUAUUUGUACAGACUAAAACAGAUACAAACUAUUCCCCUUGUUUCCCGUCUCUUUGCUAAGCUAACCUAAAGAAUGGAUCUUCUCAUCAUAUUCUUCAUCAGAAAAGCAUAACUUGGUGUUAGAAACAUUCUACUUCAUGAAAAGAAACCUUUCUUAAAUAUAUAAAAUCCGAUGUGAUCUCACCAAAUUACGUAAACUGACCACAGCCUCUUAGCGCGUUUUUAGGUAUUCUUGAUCAGGGCAGUUUAAUCUGACAUUAAAUCAGAGCUCUUUUAUUAAAAAUGUGCCAAAGAAAAUAUUAAAAACUCAAAAAGAGACAUUUAAGCAGUGCAUCCAGAUGAGAAAAACAAGACAGAGAAGUUGUUUCUGUUUGAUAAAACUCAUCAUCAACAUGCUUCAGAAAGCUUUGAGACGCCAAUUUUGUAUCAGAGCGUGUUCAGAUAGAGACCAAUAAGAACAUGAAGGUAUGUUUCUUCAUUACGGAAAUGUUAAUUUGACUUGUUUUUGCCUAAUUAACGGCAAUUACUUCCAAGAACAAAACAGCCUCACAAAUAGUAAUUAGGAAUUCAAUAUUCAUGUUGGUGGAGAUGGUUGUGAGGUCUGUAAUUAAUGAGCUUUUAAUUGUUUGAUCGUCUCCUUAAUUAAAGGCUUGCUAUAAUUUGAAGGUUUGUUUACUUUUCACAAAACAAAAAGAAUAAGAAAGACAGAAAUCUUAUUGAUAUUCUCUUUUAAAUAGAAUUUACCCAUGGAAUGAAAAAAUAAGACUUUUAAAAGUGAAGCAAACAUUUCCGAUAGAGGAAGAACAUCUCCUUGCAUUUCACUGCGCGAACUGGAAAUAAAUAAAUCUCAAAGCUACUUUUGAAGAACGCUGUAGGGUUUCACCUUCAGAUCUCAACUGGCGUUGCUGUCCCCCAUCUGCCGUUAGAACGCUUCAACCUUUGUGAAAUCUCUUUUUGUGAAACUUCAAAGCGUGGUUUGAUGACAUCUUCGACGGGCGGAAUGAAAGCAGUACAAUCAACUGUCACACAUGCAUUUGGCAGACUGCAGAACUGAUGUGGAAAAAAAGCUUCACGUUCAUAUUUGAUAAGAAUCUUAAAUCAAUAAACAGAACUUCUAACCACAUGGAACUCAAUCAAUUCCUAAUGGAGUAAAGUCGUACAACAAGACAAACAAAGAAACACGAUGAAAUCGUACAUCAUAUUUUAAUUGGCUCCUGAUUGCCAAAGAAAAUCAAAAACUGAAGCGUAAUUUCCCCAGGAUUUUACAACAAUUUCCAAAAUGAAAACUAUACAUUUUGCAUUAAAAGCAACCUUGACACCUUUCGCCCGCCACCUUGACCUUGUGUCUCCUCCUGAGAGAUGGCGAGACAGCCACCUACCGUCUUCGCACACUGCUGGAGGGACGCCUCCAUCGACCGUUGACUGCCCUGAGCUGGCCAGAGGGGGUCUAGUGGCCCACCCAGGAGAGAGAGACCAGGAGGACAUUGGGUUCUGCAAAAGGCGUAAAAAAACAAGCUACACAUGACAUAAAGAAGAAGGUGCAACAUGUUAUUUAUUUGGAGUCCUGUUUGUCCAAUAUUCAGUCUCUUUUAGCUCUGGUUUUAGUCUCUACCGACUCCCUUGGGAAGAUUUUAGCCAUUUAGCUAAAUGCUAAAUGUUUACCAUCUUAUUAUACCAGCUAAAGAGAGUCAGGACCCACAGGUGGAUCGCAGGUGCGCUAAACAAUCAUUUUGCAUACAACCAUUCACUUUCUGACGGAAAAACUUUUUGAUUAAUUUGUUCCGAAAGAAAAUCUCACACUAAAAUCACUCAGAAUAGUCAGCAUCUCCUGAAGGGUCACUGGGUGAAUCUGAAGCGAUGAUAAGCGGGUUCGGAAAGUUGUGCAAAAAAUUGAGGUUGUUCCAAAUAAAAGAGAACGUGUCUCAUAUUCUCUGCUUAUUCAACUACAUAUAACACAAUGCCUGAUAAGACAAAGACAAAAUGAUUCCUCCCUAAAGAGUCACAAGUAUUGCUUUGUGGGUCAAAAAGUCCAAAAUGUUGGAAACAAACGGUAUAAAUCACAGUAUACUGAACUAAUAUAAAAUACAAAACUUCUCUGGGUUGAUUACAUCUUGGAAGACUUUGAAUAAAUGCUCAUUCUGACUCUUCAGUCGCACGUAGAGGCUUGUGUGUAGAUGUUCUUCACCCACAAAAUUCAAUAAGCCAAAUUAGGACCAAUGCAAAACUUUACAAGUUUGAUAUAAUAGUAACACUCAAACUGAGUGAAAACAUUGCAUCGUAUUGAGUGGUUUUCUUCAUGUAAACCCAGUUGUGACUCAAAUGUUUACUAGCUGUCCUUUUUGCUACCCAGGAAUGUGAUGUGAGAGGCCAGCGAGCCACUCUGAAAGAGAGAACGAUUCAAAUGGAGAAGAGAGAAGAAGCAAGCAGAAACCUGAGAGACGAGACAGUGAGCGAGAAAAGAGUGUGAGAGGAGGCAGAGAUUUAAAAAAAAAAAAAAAAGACGCAAACAGAGGAAUAAAAGGAAAGCGAGGAGCUUAUAUGCGGUGAAAAGAGCACAUUAGGGACGGCCUGCUGCGACAGUAGUUUGGGGAACGGUGAAUAACUGCCUCCACUUAGACCAGUGUCCUGGUUGUGUGGCGCCGGGGGCCUCCGACCGACUCACACUCACAAAAAAACAACAACAGAAAAGCAAAAGAAAUGAAUUCAAGGCCAUAUAUUCCUGCACAAACCGAUACCUGGCACACACAAAAUGCUCUCACACCUCCUCUGGGAGCUCCACUCUGUCCCUCUCAUUCACACAUUUCUCCACAUUGGCCGGAUUAGGAACACUUUCUCUUGGGUGUGCGAAGCUGCCCCGCAGACAAAGAAACACUUGGGGACAGGAUUAGUAGGCUUACAGCGGAUUCACAUAUGUCCAGUUCAAGCAAUUGGUAUUCAAAGCUUUACACUUUCAAAUGCCACCAGGAGAGAGCAAAGCCGACCAACGCUUUUCUUUGCAUUGGCAGCACCUUUAUGAGAAGGGCUCUUUUGCUGGGCCAACAAUGGGGCCGUGAAUACACAUUUUUACUGUUCUACCAGGGCGAUCUCAUCGGCGACGGAUAGAGCGGCGAGCGGAGUUUGAGACAGACUUUAUUAUCUGAGUUUGAAGUGCUGUGUGUGUGUGUGUGUGUGUGUGUGUGUGUGUGUGUGUGUGUGUGUGUGUGCGGAUGGACGUAAGGACAGAUGGGUGGAUGGAGGGAUGCCCGAGGUGCUGGUCAGAGGAAGAGUGCUUCAGUUACUUCCCACAUGUUAUUGUUCGGCAGCCUGUUCCUCCACUCCACCUCCACAAAAAAGAUCUGGAGGAGACUCUUCAGAGUGGAGAAAGCGCUCUCAGCAGCUCAACACACACAAUACGGACACAAUUUAAUGUAUUUUCACAAUUUAAGGCCACAAAAAACGUCUGUGAGUUGCUGUUCGCAUGACGAAUCAAUAAAAUAUGUUUUAUGGUAGAUAAAUGUUUUUAAUUGGUUUAUUACAUUGGGAAAAUACAGUAUGCCUUAUCUAUCUGUUUUUUAAUUUUGUUUAUCGGUUUGUAUUGACCCCAAAUUUGUGAUUAAUUUAAUAUAAAUAUAUAUAUAUAUAGUGUAAAGGAAAUGUUAAUAAUGAGGACAGAAGUGAAUGAAGGAAAGGUUCUUCUCGAAGACAUCCAAGCGAUGAGAAGUUGCAUGAGGCCCGCAUGCUGCCAUACGGACAGCAGAGGGCCGAGCGUCGGAGCGGCCACGUCCCCGCUGUCCAGCGUAGGCCGUGCGCCCCUGUGGCCGCAGGAGAGGCUGAAUAGGACAGCAAUUUCCCCUUCCCAUUCCUCCUCCCCAUUCCUCCCGAUUCCACCCAAUUCCCUCAGGCAGCGAGCGGCCGAUCCGAGAUUUUGGCUUAAGAUCCGUCUUGAUAAGGGCUCAAAAUGAAUGUAUGAUGUUUUAAGAUAUCCCAGUGCAUCCUCCUUCCUCCCGAUGGACCAUUUUAUUUGUUUAUGGGUUAUUUAAUAAAACGCGUACUAAUAUGUAUGUUUUUAUUGUGUGCGUAAAAUUCAAAUUGCGCAGCUGAAAAAAACAGCCGGUUUGACAACACUAACUUAUUUCACUUGUUAAAUACAAAGUGUGAACUACGACAUGUUUGACACAAUAAUUGGUAUAGAAGUUCUCAAACUGACCAGUUUGUCCCAGGAAGAACCUUCUCAUCCACGGGAGGAGAGGAGAAGAGAAAGAGAAGAAGGG
ensembl:lncRNA